CAGAUCAGAUAAUAGUAUGCAGUAAAGCUGACGUACAUGCGGUACAAUGCGGUAAAAUGCUGUACCAAUGUGUUGUAGUUAAAUUGCCAGAUCGGAUCAGAAUUAGUCUUCCUUCUCUUCACAACCAACCCAAAAAUUACUUUAUGCAAUUGCAUGUAUCUUACAACCUCACAAAAUCAAUGAACACAUCGAGAGACAGUCAGAUAGAAACAGACAUGCACACACCCAGCUAACCGGUUCAGAAUCAGAUAUCUCACACAACAGUCACAAAUAGCCCAUAAGCCGAAGCCCUGAUCAGAGUCUUAACAACCC
rnacentral:lncRNA from 1 species